CGAGUUCUCCCACACAAACACUCCGAUAAAAUCUCCCUCCCCGAUGAGAUCGACGACCUCGCUCUCUUCCGCCGCGCAACCCUUAAUUCCAUCCACAAACGUAGCGGCGGAGGCGGGCUUAGGGCUGUCUCCCGCCUUGGCACCACCAAUCCACGCCGCAAAAUCGCUUUCCUCUUCCUCACUAAUACCGAUCUCCAUUUUGCGCCUCUUUGGGAACGGUUUUUUACCGGACAUGAAGAUUCGUUUAAUAUUUAUGUUCAUGCGGAUCCUUCUAGUAAGGUCGCUUCUCCCGGAGGUGUUUUUAACGACCGUUUUAUUGCCGGGAAGAGAACCCAACGCGCCUCCCCUUCCCUUAUCUCCGCCGCUCGCCGCCUCCUAGCCACCGCCAUCCUAGAUGACUCCUCAAAUUCCUAUUUUGCCCUCGUUUCUCAACAUUGCAUUCCGCUCCACUCUUUCAGCUUUGUGUACAAUUCUCUCUUCUCAUCGGCG
rnacentral:lncRNA from 1 species